UGUUGUGUUUAUUUACAGUGUGAUGUCUCGCUCUUCAUUGUGUAGUUUUUGUAUUAAAGUGUGUGUCUUUGUGUGUUUGUUCAGGUGACAAGUGUUUGAGCGACAGUUCGUUCAGUUAUGAUCCAGAGUUCAGCUGCUGCAGCUCGUAAUCAUUUAUGGCCAUCAGAUCAUGAAGUGUGUGGACAGGGCGGGGUUUCAUCACACCAUGCCGGACCGCUAAUGGCUGAAGAGGAAAAACCACAAGACAGCUGCAGCUUCCUCCUCCUCUGUGGGCCGCAGGGGCUGAUGGGAGGUUCCAGGACCUGAUCUCACAGCUCGUCCUCGUUAGAGAGCCACUUCUCCUCAGGUCCACCCGAGGAACCCCCCCCCCCCCCCCC